GGUUAAGCGACUAAGCGUACACGGUGGAUGCCCUGGCAGUCAGAGGCGAUGAAGGACGUGCUAAUCUGCGAUAAGCGCCGGUAAGGUGAUAUGAACCGUUAUAACCGGCGAUACCGAAUGGGGAAACCCAGUGUGACUCGUCACACUAUCAUUAACUGAAUCCAUAGGUUAAUGAGGCGAACCGGGGGAACUGAAACAUCUAAGUACCCCGAGGAAAAGAAAUCAACCGAGAUUCCCCCAGUAGCGGCGAGCGAACGGGGAGGAGCCCAGAGCCUGAAUCAGCAUGUGUGUUAGUGGAAGCGUCUGGAAAGGCGCGCGAUACAGGGUGACAGCCCCGUACACAAAAGCGCAUGUGCUGUGAGCUCGAUGAGUAGGGCGGGACACGUGGUAUCCUGUCUGAAUAUGGGGGGACCAUCCUCCAAGGCUAAAUACUCCUGACUGACCGAUAGUGAACCAGUACCGUGAGGGAAAGGCGAAAAGAACCCCGGCGAGGGGAGUGAAAAAGAACCUGAAACCGUGUACGUACAAGCAGUGGGAGCACCC
rnacentral:rRNA from 1 species